GUUCCCCACACCCUGACAAUUCCAGCUUAGUAGCUUCAUUGAUCCCGGUGGGGCCAUUCUGGGCUGGUUUCCUCCACCCUAUCAGAAAAGAACUCAACUACGCAUUACUUCUUAUAACUUGCCUCAGUCUGCUCUUCGUUCCUUCUCUGUUUCUCCAAAACUUCCAACAUAGCAUUCCCUUCAUUUCCUUCCUCCUUCUCUAAGUCUGAUUGCAUUUCCUGAAUUACAACACUCGUUCCAAACCCUAACUUGGUUCUCGCCUGUCACUUCCAUUUUCUAUUACCUUUGACUGACACCUCCUGAGAUGGGAUAUUAGUAAUUUGUUGGCUCGUAGUUUCAUUCACGUGCUCUUUUGGCUUAUGGAAAAGCUUGGAAGCUAUCAGAACGAGCUGAUCAAAGGAUAACAAUUCAUUGAGACCCUAGGGUAGAUGCUGAAAUUCUA
rnacentral:misc_RNA from 1 species